CUUUUGUAAAGAAAAAGAUUUAAUUGAGCUUUCUCAAGCUUCUUAGCAUUAUGCAUUUCUUAUAGCACUGAUAAAUCAGAUAGAUAGGUUGAGAACAUUCCUUUUAAUUUGCAGCACAAGCUGAAAAGCUCGCCAACAUUUUGCUUGGUUUAUCAAGUUAUAUUCCUGAACAAUUAUUUCAGUUCCAACAACAAAUUCAUAAAUUUUCCAUAACUUAAAUGUUUUGUCAUUGUGGUACACCACAACAAAACAAUUAUUUUCAUUAUAUUACUCAUUGUUGAAUAUUUAACUACGGAAAAUUUUCAUUUUCUUUUCUGAACAAUGAACAACAAUGGAUGCGGAGGAUCAUCCAGAGGGAGAUGAUUGACAUUGUUAUAAACAGGAAAAAAUACAAACACCAAACUGGUUACACCAACCCCAAUGUGGAUACAACCUGCUGCCUUUUUUUGUAAAGAGAGUGCCGUCUCCUGGGCCAGGAACACAGAAGCCAUAUUGCGGCAAAGGGCUUGAAACCACAGCAAAACACAUUUGCUUUCUUACUGGUUUGUAAAAAUCGACAGUUUGAUUAUAUACCCGACAGAAGAGCUGAACUAUAACGGAUCUAGUAAACUUAUUAGCUGGCUAGAACGAAAAAGUCUUCUUUUUGGCAAUUUAAAUAGUUAGAAAUCUUCUAG